UACGGGGGAUGCAAGCGUUAUCCGGAUUUAUUGGGUUUAAAGGGUGCGUAGGCUGCGUCUUAAGUCAGCGGUGAAAUUUAGGGGCUCAACCUCUACCGUGCCGUUGAUACUGGGAUGCUGGAAUGCGGAUGCCGUGGGAGGAAUGUGUGGUGUAGCGGUGAAAUGCAUAGAUAUCACACAGAACACCGAUUGCGAAGGCAUCUCACGAAUCCGCUAUUGACGCUGAGGCACGAAAGCGUGGGGAUCAAACAGG
rnacentral:misc_RNA from 1 species